GUAUCUAAAUGUUUUCACGAACGACUUUUACGGUGAAGGAAUAACAUCAGAUUAUUCUACGUCUUAUAUGUGUAAUGCUGUAUUGACGGAAAUUUAGUUUGGAACAUUCCAGUCGUUCGUAGCGCCAUUUUGUUUUUAGAUGU